GAUCUCUCGCCCCCCGCAUCCUCCCGCACGGGCCGUUCCUCCACGCCCGCACGACCUCUCGCCAUCUCCUCCUCCCGCACAGGCCAUCCCCCCCCCCCCCCCCCCCCCCCCCCCCCCCCCCCCCCCCCCCCCCCCCCCCCCCCCCCCCCCCCCCCCCCCCCCCCCCGGCGCGCUCCCACGUCGCCGCCGGUGGGCCGCCGCAAGACCGUCGUCGCCCGCGUCCAUACCCUCAUCCAUCUGCAUAGCCCCGGCUUCGUCUCCUCCGCGCCGAGGCCGUACGCGCCCUUGAUUUGGACGGCAGUACCACCGGGGCGCAUCACCUUCUUGCGCCUCCCACAUCGGCCUCCAUCUCCAUGGUCGCAAGGGCUUGCCGGCAACACCUGAUCUUUGAUCUGGUUUGUAUGCAUGCGUGUGUGUGAUUAGUUUCAGCGGCCACAUGUCGUUGUAGUAAGAUGAUGCAUCACGCAUUGAAUGGAACCAUAAGGCUAGGAGCGUGUGCACACACUGGCGUCGGCGGCAUGGUGUCAAGCUGCGGAGAAGGCAUCCGGCGAGGCGGCCAUCAGGUGGAUAAGUGGAUGGCACAUGUGUAUAUUGCUGUUGAGGGAUUAUAUUUGACAUUUUAUUUUUAUCCCAACACUAGAUUGAAGUGGUGAUUUACAAAGGAUUUUUAGUGGGGCACAAGUGUAGAUUGAUACAAAAGCAUGCUGAAUAGUGAAGUAGUACCAUGCUAGAAUUACUUGGCUACAUUUUUUUUGUUUCUUUGAUGCAAUGUAAUCUUUGUUGUUCCUGUUAUUAGUGAUUUUUCUAGAACAUCGGGUAAGCACUAUGCUAAAAAAAAAGCUAUUCUAGAAAAGGAUGAGAAGAGCUAUUCCAGAAAAGGAUGAGAAGAGCCUCAAGGUACAUUCUUUUUAUUCUGCCAGUGUGUCUUACAUAUUUUCUAGCUUGCAAUGCUUUAUAAGAUAUUUCAUAUGGAGGUCAAUGUUGAAAAAAAAGGAGUAGUCAACUUGUGGAGAACAAUGUUAAUCAAGCUCUCAUGAUAUUUCCUCUGCUUCAAGAUGCUUUCUCAGCUAUUUGUUAACAUGCUUCUGAACUUUGAUUUUCUUUACUAAACUAGACCAUUGUGCAGGUUCAUGAUGGGUCGUCCUCAAAAAUCUUGACAAUUACCCUUGACACAACACAUGGGAUGUGCUCAAUCCUACUUAUUUUUGUCUGUUAUUUUAUAUAUGUUUUUCACCUCAGAGAUUUUAUUAAAUUUCAGUUGGGUUAUAACAAGAGAUGCAAAUAAAGAACUUUAUUACGGGUUUUCAUAAAACAAAUAUAUACUUCCAAAUACCUUGAAGGUUAUUGAUUAUAUGCAGCAAGGCCAUUUGAUUAAGUUGGCUCUUUUUUGACACCAAUUUAUAUGCAAGCUAUUUGAAUAUAUAUUUGUGAAAGAAAGUACAGAAGUGUGUUUGGGUGAGGCCAAGGUUAAACAUCUCACAUUUUGUUUCAGAAAUCAUCUCUACUUAAGUCCAAGAGGUCAUCAGGUGAUGAGAUGGAUGAACUCCCAGUUUGCAUUUAUUGGGAGCUAUGAAACUGGUAAAAUGAUUAUGGUUCCCGCAACUCCUAAGCCUAUUACAUUGGAACUUGGUGAAGAAGACCUAUUCCUAUUUGAGUAUGUUGACAUCGACAAAAGGCAGCAAAGAGAACAAGUAUUGAAGGGGGCAUAAAGAACUAUGGGAGAAGCAUCCAUUUGACAAGCUCAAAGUCAUUGGUUCGCACUACCGUGGUUAUAUCAAAGAUGCAAUGGGAAAGAAAGUUAGCUUGUUCACCAUCUUGACUGCAUUUUCAUUGUUUCUUAUUAGGCCUGAGAUGUAGAUAUACUGAAAGUUGUACACUGCAGGGGUCUAUACCCACAAACCAAGGAAGGCAACUCAGAAGUUUUUCCCUGCCAAUAACCAAGAUUCACAAGGAUAGGAGGGCAGAGAUAUCAUGCUGCCAUGGAACUGGUCCAUUUGUCAUUGCCUUGCUGCUUUCAUGUUCCCUGAUAUUCAGUAGCCAUAUACUUUUAGGACUUAGGAUGUGAUUUCACAUGCGUCGCUGAUCAUAGUUGAUGCUUUUGUCAGUUCAGGGUGAGCUAUUUUGUGUACAAUUGCUAUUGGUCGUGUAAUGACUGGCUAUGCAUGGCUCUGUUUUAUUGAGCUUAGAUGAAAAUUUGAUGGACCACCUAAAUUCAUAUGAAACAAACAAAGGCUAAGUAGAGCCCCAAAUUAGAGACACGAUGGAUGUCCAUCCUGAUCACUAUUAGAUUUUGUCAUCGAAGAGCUACUAAUAGACUUACAAUCUCGAAUGACUACCUGUAUUUUUCAGAAAAUUUGUUGACCUGGUCUUAUUUGGGCAUAGGACAUGCCUGUACUUUUUGUGAAAGUUACAGGAUGCACAUUCUAUUUAAAAUGGAUACAUUGCAAAUUUUGUUAUACCUCCAUUGGUCAGGACCUGACCAUGGAAGAAUGAACCCUAAAUGAUGUCAAAUUAUUGGUCAGGAUCUCCACAUAAUAUUUCACCAGCUUAGGCAUCUGCAUUGUCUGUUAGACAGGUUUGGUUUUUGGUUAUGUAUGGGUCCUUGCUUAGUAUGGCCCGGGAAACCUGACAGGUUAUGUAUGGGUAGUCGCUUAGUAUGGCCCGGGAAGGGCUAGCCACUGAACCACAUUAGUUGUAGGUAAUGAGUAGCCUUAUUUUGGUGAUAAAGAUGUGAUAUCAAUGCAACAUGCUGGUUUGCUACUGCGAGCGGACCGACACCAUUCUGCGAGGGAGGCGAGAAGCACUGGUGAGCCGGCGACAGCUAUUCUGUGUCGAGUGAGGCGGUGCUGCAAACACCGUGUUUUAUUGAUGCGAGUGGUGACGCGGGUCGACCAGCGUCGACUACGUUGGAGCUGUGGAGUGGGGCACUGCAAGCAGUGGCGGGAGACCGACGUCUAUUGGGAAGUGGCGCAACAAGUGGUGCUGAGGGGGCACGGGAGCUAGGGUAGUUGGGCAAAUCCAACAAUGCACAUGUCCUGAUCGUACAACUCAGGAGGGGGGCGGUCGCCGAAUGUGAUCGCCCAGCUGACGCCUGACGUUUCCCUAUUUGGGUAUGAGGCACAUUGGUUCAUGAAACAAUCUGACACGUCUUUAUGACUUGGGAAUUCUAUCCACCUUGCAUCAAAUUUAAAAUCCUCUAAGAGAAUUAUUCUAUGUUCUGAUAGAAAUAUUUAUGUUUCAUAGUAUAACAUGCUUUCAGUCUGAGACGUGCAAUGCAUGCUUACUAGUGUGUAUCCAAAUAGUACUCCCUCCGUAUCUAAGAGUAAACAAAUCUAAGAGUAAUUUGGACGGAGGUAAUACAAAUAUACAAUGAAACAAGCCAUAUAGGUUCGAUUCCUCCAAGAUUCCUAUGUAAUUUAUUGGAAAGAAAGAGGGCCUGAAUGCUGGACUAUAUUCAAUUAUCAUGACAAUCUGUUACAAUGCCAAACACACUCAGAUUCUCUUUUUCAACAAUUGACCAACCUGACAAAUGCCCUGAAUAUUUUGAGCCCCGGCACACAGCAAUGCAGACUUUCAAGUGAACAAUGCAAAACAGAAGGCAAAAAGAGUUACCUGGAAUAAUUUUAUUCUCUUACACCUCAUCCCAAGACGAUGGAAACAGGGUUAAGUCCAGGAGCGGAAAAAAAUGUUUUCUUACAAUCAAAUCAUUUUGUACGUGGAGGGGGAACAAAUAAUUUCUUUUAUCCCAUUUAGAAGCUUUAUUGAGAAAUCCAAAUCUCUAGAUAUACAAGCCUGGUAGCCAGCAGAUCAUUACACCUGUGCUAUGAUACAAUCUCACUAGAAGCCUGGAGAUACAAGAUUCACAG